AUAAUAAGGAGNNGGGCCUGCCCGGCGUAAUAAUUAACGGUUGCAACGAGCAGUUGUACUAAGGUAGCAUAAUAAGUUGUCUCUUAAUUGGAGAAUGGAAUGAAAGGUUUGACGUAUAAUCGCUUUUUUUUACAAGAUUACUGAAGUUUUCUUUUAAGUGAAAAGGCUUAAAUUUUUGAAAAAGAAGAGAAGACCCUGUUGAACUUGAUUAGAAAUGUUGAAGAUAAUAUUUUGAAGUUUUAUUGGGGCAAUAUUAACUUAAAAAACAGUUAAUUUAUUAUAAGAUCCUUUAUAUGAAAGAAAUUAGAAAAAGUUACCGCAGGGAUAACAGCGUAAUUUUUCUUGAGAGAUCUAAUUGAGGGAAAAGUUUGCGACCUCGAUGUUAUAUUAUAAAAACUUUACGGUGCAGCAGACUGUAUUAGUUAGA
rnacentral:rRNA from 1 species